AUUUCACCAUUUUUUUUUCUGAUUCCAGGUAUGACUUCAAUCCGCUUUGCGCUUCUCGUUAUGAACUGUUCUUUUCUGUUUCUCAUUGUUCAUGGUUCAUGAUGCUUGAAGACUACAUGCAUUUCUCUGUUCUGGAACGCUUCAAAUAAAGAUCCAUUGCUGCUCUUGUUUUUUUUUUUAAAUAAAUCUUCACAGUCUCACCUUUCUCUCAUUUUUCUCUCCUUUUCUCUCUGCCCAAACAUCCUUUCCCGUGGUUCUCUUCUUUUUUUCUUUUUUUUUCUUUCUUUUUCUUUCCUUCUCUCUCCGUCUCCAUGGAAAGCCACUCACCUGCUCAAACACUUCUACCCCCCACCAACACCAGUUUUCUUCUCUAAACCAUCACCCUCAUUUCCCACCUGCAUGCAUGGAGCUUUACAUGCAUGGCCUUCUCCCUCUCCACCUUUAUUUCUCAUUAUUUCUUUCCAACACCGAACCCACCACCUGCACCAUCAUCCAAAC
rnacentral:lncRNA from 1 species